AAAUUGAAGAGUUUGAUCAUGGCUCAGAUUGAACGCUGGCGGCAGGCCUAACACAUGCAAGUCGAGCGGUAGCACAGAGAGCUUGCUCUCGGGUGACGAGCGGCGGACGGGUGAGUAAUGUCUGGGAAACUGCCUGAUGGAGGGGGAUAACUACUGGAAACGGUAGCUAAUACCGCAUAAUGUCGCAAGACCAAAGUGGGGGACCUUCGGGCCUCAUGCCAUCAGAUGUGCCCAGAUGGGAUUAGCUAGUAGGUGGGGUAACGGCUCACCUAGGCGACGAUCCCUAGCUGGUCUGAGAGGAUGACCAGCCACACUGGAACUGAGACACGGUCCAGACUCCUACGGGAGGCAGCAGUGGGGAAUAUUGCACAAUGGGCGCAAGCCUGAUGCAGCCAUGCCGCGUGUAUGAAGAAGGCCUUCGGGUUGUAAAGUACUUUCAGCGGGGAGGAAGGCGAUAAGGUUAAUAACCUUGUCGAUUGACGUUACCCGCAGAAGAAGCACCGGCUAACUCCGUGCCAGCAGCCGCGGUAAUACGGAGGGUGCAAGCGUUAAUCGGAAUUACUGGGCGUAAAGCGCACGCAGGCGGUCUGUCAAGUCGGAUGUGAAAUCCCCGGGCUCAACCUGGGAACUGCAUUCGAAACUGGCAGGCUAGAGUCUUGUAGAGGGGGGUAGAAUUCCAGGUGUAGCGGUGAAAUGCGUAGAGAUCUGGAGGAAUACCGGUGGCGAAGGCGGCCCCCUGGACAAAGACUGACGCUCAGGUGCGAAAGCGUGGGGAGCAAACAGGAUUAGAUACCCUGGUAGUCCACGCCGUAAACGAUGUCGAUUUGGAGGUUGUGCCCUUGAGGCGUGGCUUCCGGAGCUAACGCGUUAAAUCGACCGCCUGGGGAGUACGGCCGCAAGGUUAAAACUCAAAUGAAUUGACGGGGGCCCGCACAAGCGGUGGAGCAUGUGGUUUAAUUCGAUGCAACGCGAAGAACCUUACCUGGUCUUGACAUCCACAGAACUUAGCAGAGAUGCUUUGGUGCCUUCGGGAACUGUGAGACAGGUGCUGCAUGGCUGUCGUCAGCUCGUGUUGUGAAAUGUUGGGUUAAGUCCCGCAACGAGCGCAACCCUUAUCCUUUGUUGCCAGCGGUCCGGCCGGGAACUCAAAGGAGACUGCCAGUGAUAAACUGGAGGAAGGUGGGGAUGACGUCAAGUCAUCAUGGCCCUUACGACCAGGGCUACACACGUGCUACAAUGGCAUAUACAAAGAGAAGCGACCUCGCGAGAGCAAGCGGACCUCAUAAAGUAUGUCGUAGUCCGGAUUGGAGUCUGCAACUCGACUUCAUGAAGUCGGAAUCGCUAGUAAUCGUAGAUCAGAAUGCUACGGUGAAUACGUUCCCGGGCCUUGUACACACCGCCCGUCACACCAUGGGAGUGGGUUGCAAAAGAAGUAGGUAGCUUAACCUUCGGGAGGGCGCUUACCACUUUGUGAUUCAUGACUGGGGUGAAGUCGUAACAAGGUAACCGUAGGGGAACCUGCGGUUGGAUCACCUCCUUACCUUAAAGAA
rnacentral:rRNA from 1 species